rnacentral:rRNA from 1 species
UUCCGGUUGAUCCUGCCGGACCCGACUGCUAUUUGGGUGAGGAUAAGCCAUGCGAGUUGAAUGGGAAACUAAAGUUCCCAUGGCAAACUGCUCAGUAACACAUGAUCAACUUACCCUAUAGAGAAAAAUAACCUCGGGAAACUGAGGAUAAUGUUUCAUAGUUGAAUUGGCUUGGAAAAGUUUUUCGACGAAAGGGGUAAAAAAAAAUGGUUUUUAUCUGCUAUAGGAUAGGAUCGUGUUCGAUUAUGGUUGUUGGUGAGGUAAUGGCUCACCAAGCCGAUAAUCGAUAGGGGCCGUGAGAGCGGGAGCCCCGAGAUGGGUACUGAGACAACGACCCAGGCCUUACGAGGCGCAGCAGGCGCGAAACCUCCGCAAUACACGAAAGUGUGACGGGGUUACCCAAAGUGUUCAAUAGAACUGUGGUAGGUGAGUAAUGUUCCCUACUAGAAAGGAGAGGGCAAGGCUGGUGCCAGCCGCCGCGGUAAAACCAGCUCUUCAAGUGGUCGGGAUAAUUAUUGGGCUUAAAGUGUCCGUAGCCGGUUUAGUAAGUUCCUGGUAAAAUCGGGUAGCUUAACUAUCUAUAUGCUAGGAAUACUACUAUACUAGAGGGCGGGAGAGGUCUGAGGUACUGCAGGGGUAGGGGUGAAAUCUUAUAAUCCUUGUUGGACCACCAGUGGCGAAGGCGUCAGACUGGAACGCGCCUGACGGUGAGGGACGAAAGCCAGGGGAGCGAACCGGAUUAGAUACCCGGGUAGUCCUGGCCGUAAACGAUGCAUACUAGGUGAUGGCACGGCCAUGAGCCGUGUCAGUGCCGUAGGGAAACCGUUAAGUGUGCCGCCUGGGAAGUACGGUCGCAAGGCUAAAACUUAAAGGAAUUGGCGGGGGAGCACCACAAGGGGUGAAGCCUGCGGUUCAAUUGGAGUCAACGCCGGG